rnacentral:rRNA from 1 species
GACGAACGCUGGCGGCGUGCCUAAUACAUGUAAGUAGAACGCUGAAGGAGGAGCUUACUUCUCUGGAUGAGUUGCGAACGGGUGAGUAACGCGUAGGUAACCUGCCUGGUAGCGGGGGAUAACUAUUGGAAACGAUAGCUAAUACCGCAUAAGAGUAGAUGUUGCAUGACAUUUACUUAAAAGGUGCAAUUGCACCACUACCAGAUGGACCUGCGUUGUAUUAGCUAGUUGGUGGGGUAACGGCUUACCAAGGCGACGAUACAUAGCCGACCUGAGAGGGUGAUCGGCCACACUGGGACUGAGACACGGCCCAGACUCCUACGGGAGGCAGCAGUAGGGAAUCUUCGGCAAUGGACGGAAGUCUGACCGAGCAACGCCGCGUGAGUGAAGAAGGUUUUCGGACCGUAAAGCUCUGUUGUAAGAGAAGAACGAGUGUGAGAGUGGAAAGUUCACACUGUGACGGUAUCUUACCAGAAAGAGACGGCUAACUACGUGCCAGCCGCCGCCGUAA